AACGCGAAGAACCUUACCUGGGCUCGAAAUGUAGUGGACCGGGGUAGAAAUAUCCCUUCCCCGCAAGGGGCCGCUAUAUAGGUGCUGCAUGGCUGUCGUCAGCUCGUGUCGUGAGAUGUUGGGUUAAGUCCCGCAACGAGCGCAACCCUUAUCCCCAGUUGCCAUCAUUAAGUUGGGCACUCUGGUGAAACCGCCUCGGAUAACGGGGAGGAAGGUGGGGAUGACGUCAAGUCCUCAUGGCCUUUAUGUCCAGGGCUACACACGUGCUACAAUGGCCGGUACAAACCGUCGCAAACCCGUGAGGGGGAGCUAAUCGGAAAAAGCCGGCCUCAGUUCGGAUCGUAGUCUGCAACUCGACUACGUGAAGCUGGAAUCGCUAGUAAUCGCGGAUCAGAACGCCGCGGUGAAUACGUUCCCGGGCCUUGUA
rnacentral:rRNA from 1 species